rnacentral:lncRNA from 1 species
CUGGAAUCGAGGCUCUUGAAAAAAAAAGCUUGUGAGGCUAAAAAGAGGACUUCUAAGGUAGGUUGAAGGUCUUUAGAGAGGAAGAAAACUUGCACCGAGGCCCUUGCAGAAGUGAAGCGCUUGAGGGAGAAUAUCAAACAAACUAAUAAAGCAUAUACCUUGGAGAAGGCUCAAUUAAACAAAUCAUGCGCAAAAUUGAAUAUGGCUAUCGAGGAAGUGAAGUGGAG